CAGGAUUUCCCUAGUAACGGCGAGCGAACCGGAAAGAGCCCAGCUUGAAAAUCGAGGUGCCUCGCACCUCGAAUUGUGGCCUGGAGAAGGUCCCUCUGCGGCGCGCCGGACCCAAGUUCCCUGGAAAGGGACGUCGGAGAGGGUGACAACCCCGUCGAGUCCGGAGUGCGCCGGUCCACGAGGACCUGUCGGCGAGUCGGGCUGUUUGGGAAUGCAGCCCUAAGCGGGUGGUAAAUUCCAUCCAAGGCUAAAUAUCGGCAGGAGACCGAUAGCGAACAAGUACCGCGAGGGAAAGAUGAAAAGGACUUUGAAAAGAGAGUUAAAAAGUGCUUGAAAUUGCUGGGAGGGAAGCGAAUGGAAGCUGCGGGUGCGCCCCGGUUGGAUGUGGAACGGCAUUCAUCCUGCUGGUCCGCCGCUCAACGCGGGGCGCUGGUCAGCGUGGGCCACCUCGGCGGGACAAAGGGCGGGGAUUCGCUUCCCGCCUUAUGCCGUUGCGGUGGCCGAGGGAACGAAGCGCGCGCCGCCUUUUUUUUUUCAAANNGUCGGCGUGKGGGGCYUUSAACCCCCCCCAACUGCGCGCUCGGGACGCUGGCGUAUUGAGCUCUUCAUCCGACCCGUCUUGAAACACGGACCAAGGAGUCUAACAUGUAUGCGAGCCGGUGGGCGGCAAACCCAUUGAGGCGAAAGUAAACUGACAGGUGGGACCCCGACCCGACCCAAGGGGAGGGGGCACCAUCGACCGACCGUGAUCUUCUGUGAAAGGUUUGAGUGCGAGCAUACCCGUUGGGACCCGAAAGAUGGUGAACUAUGCCUGAGCAGGGCGAAGCCAGAGGAAACUCUGGUGGAGGCUCGUAGCGAUACUGACGUGCAAAUCGUUCGUCAGACUUGGGUAUAGGGGCGAAAGACUAAUCGAACCAUCUAGUAGCUGGUUCCCUCCGAAGUUUCCCUCAGGAUAGCUGGAGCUCGUGCGGAAGUUUUAUCAGGUAAAGCGAAUGAUUAGAGGCAUCGGGGGUGUAACACCCUCGACCUAUUCUCAAACUUUAAAUAGGUAAGCCGCCGGGGUUGCUCGGAUGAACCCCGGCACA
rnacentral:rRNA from 1 species